GUUGUUCGGCUUCUCUGUGAGACUACAGGGAAAUGUCAACAAAUUAAUUGCACCCACUGUUAAAAGGGGCUUCAAAAGCUGUUCUCAAUCAUCUGCUUUAUCCAAAUACUGUGUGUGGGAAGUUGUGUUGUUUACUACCAGCUAUCAUCUAUAUUACCAUAGCACCUAAGAGCCUCGGAAAUGUAGAGGGCUCCAUUGCAGGGAUGCAACGAAGAGAGAGAAAAAAAAGACCAUCACAGUCUCCAAAUAUCCUCUCAGGUGUUAAUCCUUUCACACAACCUGAAGUAAAAAACAGUGCAACUCAACCAUUCUCACCUCUUUAAAACUUUCACCUUUUCUUUCUAGGUGAAAGUAGGUCUUAGAGCCUUUUUGUUACUCAUCUGCUGCCCUUUCAAGUUUUAUCUGCAAGACAUUAGAUAGGGUUAAGCCUAACACUGAAUAUGUAUCUUUUUAUUUCAGCUCAAACUGCAUUGUUGGCAGGGUGAUGUUACCUUGAUAACAUUGUAACAUGGGGUGCUUUGCAUAUAUUGGGAUCUGUAUCCUUCUAAUUAUCCAACGACUAGAUAAUCUUCAAGGGCAGGAAUUUUCCAAAUGGUCUGGAAUGCAGGCUGCAGAUAAACAGAUAAUAUCCUAGUGAGGUAAAAGCAAACCAAAUAUGGUGUUCUGGAAUGAGAUGCAGCACUGUCAGUUUGGAACACACAAUACAAUCUGUAUAUUAAAAAAGUAAAUUAAGCAAUUUUUUCAGUUACAAGACAACCUUACUGCAGAGGUCCAGCUCAUUUUUUUUUUUCAACCAGGUAGUAUGAGAGCAGUUUCCCUUUGUGGGUGCACAGGUUGUUGCUGUUAAUAGGACCGAGUCGGUGCUCUAUGCCUGGAGAGUGGUUUUCAACCUUGUAAUCCACAUACCCUUGGAAUUCCUUAGGCUAAUUCCAGAGGCUCUUGGAAGAGCCUUAUAAAUAGGCUCCCAACAACUCAAGAGUGGUCCUCACAAUCAUUGGAAAAAAGUUUUGAGGAGCUUGUUUUUUCCCUUUUCCCUAAACAAAAUAAAGCCAAGCUGUUCUGCAGGACGCGUGAUUUCAAUUUCUGAAGAUUGCUUGGGGCUUCGGUGAAGUCGGUGUAAAGAUGGCUGUAUAUUUACCCAGGUAGACCAGUAACCACCUGCAGGACAGAUCCAAGCCUUCUCAUUUCACCCUUUCUGGUAGGAAACAUUGUCAGGAUUCAGCAAACCGUUUGCCUUGAGUUUUCUGCAUCUGCUGGCGAAGGUCCAUUAUUUCUUUUGCUCGUAUUUUGUUUAUAACAGAGAAUGAAACAUGAGGCAGCAGUGCUGUCCCUUACAAGGGAAAAACUGAAAAUCCAAAGCGAUCUCAUGACUCCAAACAGAAUCAGAUGAUAAGCCUGGGAAGCUUACCCAGCUAUGAUGGUGCCUUGUACCAAUCAACAGCUCAGGAUUAGUAGGAUUAAAGUAAAUCUUAUUUCUGGCCAUCCAUGUCUGAAUUUCAGUUUGGCAUCUGGUCAACAAAGCAACCGCCUUUUGCAAGGUAGUGUGACAAAUUUCUUUUUCCAUAAACAUUAUGGAAAAAAAAAAGAAAAAAGAAAAAAAGGAUGUUCUUGAAAAGUCUGUGAAGUGCUCUGCAUUACCUGUGCAGAUGGUGCUAAAAUUGGAGCAGAACAAAAUGCUCAACUUUCAUCUUAUAAAAGAGCAAAGCAGAAACACAUCAUGUCGUCUCACGCUUACGUCUGCUCAGGUGAGGGAGGAGAAGCACUUCUUAUACCACACCCAAGUCCUCCAGAUGAAGAAUUUGUAUGAGUAUUCUCUUCUCUUUUAUACCUUGUGUAUGCAAUUGUGGAUGAGUAUUGGCUGACACACUUCAGUUCUUAGCCAGACGAAACGGGGAAGUUCAAGGACAUGAAAAGGACAUGGGUAUGCACAAAAGUGAAGGAACUGGUAUUUUGCAGUUGCAAAGGUGCUGAGAUUGCAAGCUUUAAACAAAGCGUGGUGUUCACAGCCACGUGAGUGUGCUUAGGUUUUGAAUGAUCUUUGCCAGAAGCUUUCCUCUUCAACAGAGACUCCAUUUCUAACAAAAACAGCUUUAAAUCCGAUUCUUCAUAUUGUUAACUUCUCAGAACAAGGACAUUUCUUAAAGAUCUCUCAGUGUUUUCCAGAAACUCUGCUCUCUCUUGCGCUUGCGGCUACUGGUUGACUCCUCAGUACUCAGGUAUCACAUGGAGGCAUGCCCCAUGUGCAAACGUGUCCAAACCAGCAUGGUGAAGGCAGCAGAGCAUAGUCCCAGCACAGGAACAAAUGAACUGCGUUUCUCUUGCCUACAGGCUUCUCCUCUGGACCGUGGAGUUGCUGAGUUUGAUAAAUACUAACGGCUAAAAAAUACACACCACAUUUAUAGUAGAUAGGAAAUGCCAGAUCUGCAUUUUGAAUGUCUCCAAUUCCAUCCCAACUCAGUGUGGCUAUCUGAAGCAUCAAGUAUCUAUUACCUGAAACCAAUAGGCCUUUUUAACCUUCCCCAGUGAAGCACUACUCAGGAUGAUUAACAGUGGUAGGGGCUGCUCUUUGAGCAGUUAAAUGCUGUAUUUUGAAAUCCCAUCAGACAGGGCUUAAUGUCUUCACAUUGAUAACCACUCCUUGGAUACCUCCUCAAUUCUUUGCUCUCAGUGCUAAGUGAAGAGGGAGCUACCCACUCCCUGCUUUAUGGCCUGAAAGUUUCUGAGCUAGAAUGUUAGUCAUUAAAAAUGACAGAGCUUGACCAGCGUCAAGAGCAUAACAUCUGACCUGGUGUGUAUAGUUAUUUUGUUCAGUUAAAACCAUGCUUUUAGGAAUAGGUGGCUGUAUAUAUGGUCUGUCUGCAACUCUAUCCAUCCCCAGUGGCCCGAGGGCUGCUGCUGCUGCUGUCUUCUGGAAGCAAAGAGGAAUAGCAGCUUUUUAAUCUGAAUACAACCAGGUAUAAAGAUUAUGCUGUCGGCAAACAAUGUAUCAUGUAACAGCCAAGCUCUUCUAAAGGGGAUGUUUUCAGUUUUAUGGGAGUUUUCAGUCCAGAAUGGAUGCAUUAGUGCAGGUUCAGUAAGAAAUAUGAUACCAGGAGUGAAUAGCAGUAAACAUCUUUUCGAGGGUGAAACUCAGGGUUUAAGUGAUACUUACGAAGAUACAGGCCUACAUUAAUGUUACCAAACGGAAUGAAUGGGCCAGAUGGUCAGCUGGUACAAAAGGAGCCUUGCUCUGUAGAAAAUGAAGAAUACUGAUUCUGUUUAUUGUUCAUCAUUGUUAAACGGCUUGUCCAUUAAGCCACCGGGGAUACAUCGCUUUCCCUUCAGUGCUCAUGGCUACUAAUAUCAAAGGUUUAAUAAGAAGGAGAGUAUAAGGAUCUCAGACAAUCGUUGGAUACACCACGCUGUGACACAUGGGGGUGUGUUCCUUGUGCCCCACGUGCUCUUCUGUUCACACCAACCCAAGAGAGAGCACUCAUUUCACAGCUGCAGUAGGCUCUUGCUUUUGGCAGGAAGAUGUUAACCCCAGGAAGGCUGGAGAACAAGGGCAAGUGCAUGCAUCCAAAUGCACAGCCUAUUUCCCCAAACCUUCCCUCCUUCCUUAUACACACUUUGGUGGAUCCUCCUGCGGGAGGCUCUGGGGCGUGUGGAGACCUCACCAAACUAAACACUGGAGUUCCUGCACUUUUACGUUUCUACUAGAAAUGAAGGAAAUAUUGUCUGAAAAGGCUUCGCAACCAUGACGUGUGAUAACCAGGACUUGCAGGAGUCUCGGCGAGAUGCUGUAGGAGUCUAAAUGGCAUCCUAACGGGAAAAGGGGCUGCUAACUGGAUGUAUUCGAACGUCCAUAGAAGAGAAAUCAGAGGCUAUUCUUCAACAGUGACCCCCACCGGAGAGCAAGCCUUAACUUUGUUCUCCUCAUCUAAGCGUAAAGAGGUCAGACCGAGGAAGACGUCGAGCCUUCGCGAGGAAGACUUCUGACUUCAUCCCCACGACCACCAGAGGGAGACCCCCUACUACGGACAACGCAUGCGCCAGGGGAGGGGUAGUAUGUAAAUGAGUUUCUGGAAGAACAAUGGAUACUUGAAUGGGUUCCAAGAAUUUCUGCUGAAUAUGUAUGGAUUUGGCUUAUAAAUAUGUAUUGCUUCUUCUGGCUUGUGUGUAGGUUUGGUGGAGCGAUCCCCCUGCACCUGAUUGAUUGCGUAAUUAUCAAAUAAAUCAUACCUGCUUUAUAACCUGCUUGGGUUAUAGAGUUUGUUUCCGCAAGUCAGCCUCGGCAUGAAAGGGAAACCCCAGUGUGGUUAGCAUAAACUCCAUCAUAAAGAACCAGGAGUGCUCUUGGAUACUCGGAUGCCUGUACAGCCUUGCCUGCUAUUAAGACAAGUGCAAAAUAGUAAAUAUUCCAAAUUUAGCCAGAGAAACAAUAUGCACACAUCAUUUGAAAGCUAAUAUCCAUAACAGGUGCAAUAGCAGCUGCGGAGAAAUCCACACAAGACUUAUAACCAAUACUUUAAAUGCACU
ensembl:lncRNA